GCGCAAUUGACGGUACCCUGGGAAUAGCAUCGGCUACUCCGUGCCAGCAGCCGCGGUAAUACGGAGGAUGCGAGCGUUAUCCGGAUUCAUUGGGUUUAAAGGGUGCGUAGGCGGACUAUUAAGUCAGUGGUGAAAUCCUGCAGCUUAACUGCAGAACUGCCAUUGAUACUGAUAGCCUUGAGUUUGGUUAAGGUAGGCGGAAUGUGUAAUGUAGCGGUGAAAUGCUUAGAUAUUACACAGAACACCAAUUGCGUAGGCAGCUUACUGAGCCGACACUGACGCUGAGGCACGAAAGCGUGGGGAUCGAACAGGAUUAGAUACCCUGGUAGUCCACGCCGUAAACGAUGAUUACUCGCUGUUGGCGAUACACUGUCAGCGGCUAAGCAAAAGCAAUAAGUAAUCCACCUGGGGAGUACGGCCGCAAGGUUGAAACUCAAAGGAAUUGACGGGGGCCCGCACAAGCGGAGGAACAUGUGGUUUAAUUCGAUGAUACGCGAGGAACCUUACCUGGGCUUAAAUGUAGAGUGCAUUUUCUAGAGAUAGGAAUUCCCUUCGGGGCUUUCUGCAAGGUGCUGCAUGGUUGUCGUCAGCUCGUGCCGUGAGGUGUCGGGUUAAGUCCCAUAACGAGCGCAACCCUUAUCGUUAGUUGCCAUCUGGUAAAGCAGGGGACUCUAGCGAAACUGCCACCGUAAGGUGAGAGGAAGGUGGGGAUGACGUCAAAUCAGCACGGCCCUUAUGUCCAGGGCUACACACGUGUUACAAUGGUCGGUACAGAGGGCAGCUACCUGGUGACAGGAUGCUAAUCUCGAAAACCGGUCUCAGUUCGGAUCGAAGUCUGCAACUCGACUUCGUGAAGCUGGAUUCGCUAGUAAUCGCGCAUCAGCCAUGGCGCGGUGAAUACGUUCCCGGGCCUUGCACACACCGCCCGU
rnacentral:rRNA from 1 species